AGCAACUCCCUUCCUCUGCAAUGGAGGCUGAAGCAGAGCACCACAAGUCCACAACCCCAUGACUCGUGUCAUAUUGUAGCAAAGUUUAGGGACUUGAUUGUACGUUUUCUGAGUUAUGGGACUGGUGAAGUACUUUAUUACUAUUAAAACUAAUGAGAACUGAAAGGACAGACAAACAAAUAGUUAUGCUUUUGGCUCUUGCUAAGAGAUCGCCUCCUCAGAAGAUAUUAGAACAUGCAUCUCGAUGAUUACACAUGUGUUCUAUGUUCUGCAGGUUGUGAAGAAAAUCUGAUGCACCUAUUCUUUGAAUGUUGCGUCAGUCAAAUGUGUUGGGCGUUUUUGGGAAUUGUGUGGAAUCUUUCGCUGGACCCUUUAGAUAUGAUCAUUCAGGCUCGAGUUAAUUUUGGGAGAACAAUUUUCAGGGAGAUUAUCAUCAUUGCUAGCUAGUGCAUUUGGUGUCAUUGCAAUAGUAUUAUCUUUGAUAAUGGUGUUCGGUCUAUAGCUAAGUGGAAAUUGGAUUUCAGAGAAGAAAAUGACAGUGAACCUUUCCUUGGAUAAUUGGAUGAGUAAUCUGUAACUUUUAAUUCCUCCCCUCCCCCUCCCCCCCUUUUUCUCUUUGAGCCUGUGAGCUUUGUAACUUCUUUGUACAUGCACUUUUUCUUUAUAUAUAUAUAUAUAUAUAUAUAUAUAUAUAUAUAUAUAUAUAUAUAUAUAUACCAAAAAACAGGUAGGUGAGUCCCCUGUCAAUUUGUUAAAAAAUGAAAGUCUUUUUUUCGGGAAAAGGUAUAUUUUUCAUCCCUCAAGUAUUGCAAAAGUGUGACAUUCAUCUCUCAUAUUUCAUUUGGUGAAAAUCAACCCCACCUAAGUUUGACAAUGGUUCAAUGCCAUCUAAUGACGGUUUAUGCCACAAAAUUAUCUGACUAGUCCUUGCUUAGCAAUGUAAUAUGCUGAGUCGAAGAUAUAAAACCAAUAAAAAAUUAAUAAAUCCUCUAAAUUUCCUAUCAAAUAAAAAUUAUCGGAAAAAGAACUGAUGCACACCGAGCUAUUAUAGCAAUUGACUCAACAUUAUACAUAGCUAAGCAAUGACUAGUAAGAUGAUUACAUGACCUAAACUGAUGUUAUAUGACACUAAACUAUUAUCAAACUUAGGUGGGGAUGAUAAAUAAUGCGUCGAUUUAGUAAGUUAAGGGGCUGAUUUACACCAAAUGAAACAUAAAGAAUGAAUGCCACACUUUUGCAAUACUUGAGGAAUGAAAAAAAAUGCACUUUUCCUAUUUUUUAUUCCUUAAGUAUUUUGAUAUUUUACUUUAUGCAAAUUGAUCCCUUAACCCGUAACUAAUUAUAUCGGUGCACUAAUCAUCCCCACCUCAACUUAACAAUGGUUUAGUGCAUAGUUUAUGCCACACAAUCAUCUGACUAAUCACUACUUAAUAUUGUUGUUUCCUAGCCACACUGCCACAUCUGAAAAGAGGACCUCGCUAGAGCUUUGAUGUAGGGGGGGUUCGAGCAUUUCUUAGAUACUUAAAGACAUGUUGACACUAUUACAUAAAACAUUUGAAUAGUCGGUUGGUAACCCCUUUGCACAGGGGUUUAAGCAAGCACCUGCAGCUGAACGGCCAUGAAAACGUGGGGUUUUACAUGUGAAAAACGGGCAACAAUACAUAAAUAUCUACUAGAAACAGCAUAAAAAUUUUGAAAAAAAAAUCAUUUUUGCACCUAGGUCGACCCGACUAGCCAGACUUAUGUGUAUUUUUCAUGUGAAAUAUGCACGCGUGCAAAUUCCUAAGUUCAGAACCAUGACCUCCCCUCUCGCAUGGUCCUUCCAUAUACCAUCCCACUAUGGAAUAGGAAGUAGGAAAAUAUUCCUAUGCACCUAUAUAAAUGGUAUCUUCACAAGUGGUUCCUUAUAUGAACCACCGCCUAUGUGCAAAUGUGUUUCCACGUGUGGUUCAAAGCUACAUGAGACUCCUCCAACUAGGCAAGAAGCCCAUAAUCGAAGCAUGUGGGGAAGGCAGGGUAAAUAAGGAAAUUGUUUUUAGUAAUAUAUGUGGAAAACUCAGGAAUAUGUAGUAGUGUGCCCCCACACCUUACCUAUACUUUAACUGAAUUUAGGAUAAAGAUUACCCAAGGAAAUAAUAUUAUAAUUCCAUAUCCUAUAAUAGUAAAAAGUCAAAUGUCAUCAAUUGAGUUGUGGUAAUGACUAGUAGUAGGCAAAAACAACCAAUAUGCGAACAGAUCAAUCAGCAGGCAAGAGUAGUGUUCU
rnacentral:lncRNA from 1 species